rnacentral:lncRNA from 1 species
GUGGCCUUCUUGUCCCAACCUCAGGCCUCCACAUGUGACUUCUGCACCUCAUCUCUGGGAUGGUUUCAGUGGGUCCUAGAUUGCUUUCUGUGCUCCCUGGGACAGUUGGUGGCACUCUGUGAGACUACUCUGAGACCAGUCCUUUCCAUCAUGGGCUCCUGUGGAAAAUGACCCCAGCUCAGCUCAGUAGUUGAUGGGACAUCUGAUUCAGGUUGGACCCAGCCCAGACAUCUGAUUCAAACAAUAUUCUUCUCCAGGAAUUUUGUAACCAGCACUGGUAAAGGGAGGGAAGUGCUCCCCAGUGGGGAGAGCUGCAGAAUGUGAGACUUGGAAACCAAAGGCCGCCAUGUUUUCUGUCUCAUGAUGGAAUCCAAUCUUCUUUGGCGGGGAAAAUAAAUGAAGCCAACACCAGACAACAUAUAUCAAGCAGGGGCCAUUGCUCCAGCCUGACUCCAGGAAUCAGCAGACAGCGCAGCCUCAUUCUCCACCUGCUCCCUGCAGUACAGCCUCAGAACCACACAGUUGCAGCCAACCAGCUCCUGACAUGGAACUUGAGCAACAAAUGCCCUUUGUUUUUGCAAGUCCCUGAGAUUUGGAAGUUGUUACACAGCAUUCUCUCAGCCAGAAGUGACUGACAUGGUAUCAUUGCAGUCUUGAUCAAUUUGCCCUAUGCAAAGUGUUUUUAUAUGCCAUGAAUUUCUGAAGAUAGAACUACUGUUAUUCCCCAUGCAGCAGCUGAGGAAACUGAGUCUUAGAAUGUAUAAACAACUUUCCCAAGGCUACUGAAAGUGAUGGGAAUCAAAUAUAUCUUUGCCUAACUCCAGAUCCCAUGCUUUUGAAGAUAUUUAUACUGCCUAAAGCUGUAACAGACUUUUCUAAUAGUCAUACAUGGCAUAUUUAGUUGCUCUCCAUGGGGAAAUAAUGACCUGACAUGGAAAAUAUUGGUGUACUUUAUUAUGAGAUUCUAAUAAGCAACCAUUAUACAUGUAUAUAAUAUAUACAUGCAACCUCUUAAGCUUAUGCCAUUCUGUAUGGAUGUUACUAGCUUGAAGAAAUUCUAAAGAGUAGGGAUAUUAAAAAUACUGAGCCAAUAAAGUAGGAUAAUUUUUUUAUUGUAGUCAAUUUUCAUUUAUAAUAUUAAAUUCUUGCACUCCCUUUCAAA